rnacentral:rRNA from 1 species
UCGCCUGUUUACAAAAACAUCUUUUCUUGUUAGUUUUUGAAGUAUGGCCUGCCCGCUGACAUUUGGUGUUGAAGGGCCGCGGUAUUUUGACCGUGCAAAGGUAGCAUAAUCAUUAGUUCUUUAAUUGUGAUCUGGAAUGAAUGGCUUGACGAGGCACGGGCUGUCUUAGUGUUGAAUGUUUUAUUGAAUUUGGUCUUUGAGUUAAAAUUCUUAGAUGUUUUUGUGGGACGAGAAGACCCUAUAGAGUUUGACAUUUGGUUUAUUUACUUAUUGUUGUUUGUUUGUUUUUGGUGAGUGGGCUUUUUGUUUUGUUGGGGUGAUGGGAGGAAUGUGCUUAACUCCUCUUAGUUUUGGUUAUAUUGAUUUAUAGUUGUUUGAUCCAUUUAUUUUGAUUGUAAGACUAAAUUACCUUAGGGAUAACAGCG